rnacentral:lncRNA from 1 species
AGGACUAAAGAAAUCUAAAUGAGACUCAAUCAAAAAGCACCAGAACAGGGAGGGACCAAACGCGCAAAUCCCCCAUUCGAAAGCAAAACGUGCGGGUCUGCUCCCUCCCAAACGGUGCUGCUUCAAUGUGUUAUUUAAAAUAAAUAAAAAAACUGUUUUAAAAAUCAUUUUUAUUUUUGCCCCCUUUUUAAAACCCUAAUGCUCUCAAACUCUCCCUAUUUCCCUUUUUCUUUUCAACCGAAUGGCUCUCAAAUACCACCACUCUCGUCACACACGCCGCCGUAGACAAACAACAGAGGGUCGAAGAACCCCUCUUGCGAGGCGAAUCGAGAGGUACUCACCCUUUCCCCUUUUAUUUCGUAUUUUCGGAUUUGAAUGGAAAUGAAAAUAAAGCAAAAGAACAGGAAAAAGAAAAUCAUAAAUACCCACCUUAGAAAUGUUUUCUUGGCUGCUCUUUACUCUCUUUUUUGGUAUAUUUUGAAUUUCAAAAAAAAAAAGAACCCUUUACAAUUAAAAAUCAAAGGCUUUAUAGCCAAAAUACAAGCAGUUUCUGUUGUUUCCUUGUCCAACUUGCACGCCGUGAAGUUGUGGAGAACGAGGGGCGUGGAGUAUGGGCGCAAACAUGGAGCGGGGCACACGAGGAUCGUGCGUGGAGUGUUGACGUGGGGGCUGCGGCGUGGGUGACCUAGGUUUCCCUAGAUUAGCCGAUUAGAUUUAGAUUUUGGGCCAUGGGUAUAGGGCCUAUCUCAUGUAAUUAGGUUAGUUUCAUUUUGGGUUUUGGGUUUGUAUUUGGACAUUUAAUAUUUUGUUUUAUUCUUUGGUUUUUGUAUGUGGAUGGGCUCGGGUCAAAAUUGGGUCUUACAGGCGGCGCGGUGGAUCGCCAAGGAAGCCUAUUGGCCGGAUGUAUAGGGAGACAAAGGGUAGAGGAUGAGAGAAUUCCAAAGUUCUCUCAUUUUUUUUAAACUAAAGGCUGAAAAUGAAAUUUCAAAAAAAAAAGGCUUUUAUAAAACACUGAAACGACAUGGUUUCAUUUGGCCUCCCCAGACGCCAAGACGGUGUCGUUUUGGGAGGCCAACCCGAACCUGACCCGCUCCACAAAAGGGAUCCGUGUGUUUUUUUUAUUUUGGGUUAUUUGCGAAAAUGGGGCUUUCGCUUUUGCUUCGUACUUAGAUUAAGUCCCUCCUUUUUUUUCUUUUUUAAUUCGACCCUUUUAUUUCAUUCCGCAUUCAAUUUAGUCCAUCUAUUCGCAAGUUGGAGUGGCGCACUUAAUGGGGUUUGGGAUAUUUUCUCAAUUAACCCCUUGCAUGUUUUAGUGUGUUUCAAAUCCGUCCUCUGCUUUAUUUUUUUAUCCGAAUUUCCCCUUUGAAUUCUAUUUAGAUUUUAAUUUAAUCCUUUUUAUAUACUUACUUUUAUUUUAUUCGAAUUUGGACCCUAAAAUUUCAUUUUAUUUGCAAUCAAGCCCUUAUUCAUGUAAAUUUGGACUCUUUGAUUUUUUUUAUUUUAAAUUGUUUUAUUAAACUAUUUUAAAUUGAUUUAGAUAUAUUAUUUUAAAUUAUUUCAUAUACUAUAUACUUUAAAUUGCUUUAUACAUUAUUUAUUUUAAACUUGUUUUAUGUAUUAUUCAUUUUAAAUUGUUUUAUUAUUUACUUUAAAAUUUUUCAAAUAUUAUCAAUUUCAAAUUUUUAUAUGUAUUAUCUAUUUUUUAUAUAUCAUUUAUUUUUAUUUUUAGAUGUUUUGUAUAUUACUUAUAUUAAAUUUCUUUUUACAUAAUAUUUAUUUUAAACUCAAUUAUAUAUUAUUUAUCUUAAAUUAUUUUACAUAUUAUUUAUUUUAAAUCUUUUUUCCUCGUAUAUUAUUUAUUUCAAACUUUCGCCUAUAUUACCU